GCUGCGCAGAGAGGUAGAGCUGCUCAGCGCCCCUUCAGCAAAGGAACGGAGGAACGGAGCCCCUUCUGUUCCUCCUCCCGCUUCCCUGAAGGGCCGAUGCGCAGCUCUCCCUCUCUGCACAGC